rnacentral:rRNA from 1 species
UCGGGAAUUUUGGGCAAUGGGCGAAAGCCUGACCCAGCAACGCCGCGUGAAGGAUGAAGUAUUUCGGUAUGUAAACUUCGAAAGAAUAGGAAGAAUAAAUGACGGUACUAUUUAUAAGGUCCGGCUAACUACGUGCCAGCAGCCGCGGUAAUACGUAGGGACCAAGCGUUGUUCGGAUUUACUGGGCGUAAAGGGCGCGUAGGCGGCAAUUCAAGUCAUCUGUGAAAUCUCCGGGCUUAACUCGGAACGGUCAGAUGAUACUGCUUUGCUAGAGUGCAGAAGGGGCAAUCGGAAUUCUUGGUGUAGCGGUGAAAUGCGUAGAUAUCAAGAGGAACACCUGAGGUGAAGACGGGUUGCUGGGCUGACACUGACGCUGAGGCGCGAAAGCCAGGGGAGCAAACGGGAUUAGAUACCCUCGUAGUCCCUGAGCGGGCUGGCAAGGCGC